rnacentral:rRNA from 1 species
AUUGAACGCUGGCGGCAGGCUUAACACAUGCAAGUCGAGCGGAGUGAUGGUGCUUGCACUAUCACUUAGCGGCGGACGGGUGAGUAAUGCUUAGGAAUCUGCCUAUUAGUGGGGGACAACACCUCGAAAGGGAUGCUAAUACCGCAUACGUCCUACGGGAGAAAGCAGGGGAUCACUUGUGACCUUGCGCUAAUAGAUGAGCCUAAGUCGGAUUAGCUAGUUGGUGGGGUAAAGGCCUACCAAGGCGACGAUCUGUAGCGGGUCUGAGAGGAUGAUCCGCCACACGGGGACGGAGACACGGCCCAGACUCCUACGGGAGGCAGCAGUGGGGAAUAUUGGACAAUGGGGGGAACCCUGAUCCAGCCAUGCCGCGUGUGUGAAGAAGGCCUUAUGGUUGUAAAGCACUUUAAGCGAGGAGGAGGCUCUUUUGGUUAAUACCCAAGAUGAGUGGACGUUACUCGCAGAAUAAGCACCGGCUAACUCUGUGCCAGCAGCCGCCGUAA